UACGUAGGGUGCAAGCGUUGUCCGGAAUUAUUGGGCGUAAAGAGCUCGUAGGCGGUUUGUCGCGUCUGCUGUGAAAACCUGAGGCUCAACCUCGGGCUUGCAGUGGGUACGGGCAGACUAGAGUGCGGUAGGGGUGACUGGAAUUCCUGGUGUAGCGGUGGAAUGCGCAGAUAUCAGGAGGAACAACGAUGGCGAAGGCAGGUCUCUGGGCAUUAACUGACGCUGAGGAGCGAAAGCGUGGGGAGCGAACAGG
rnacentral:rRNA from 1 species